CCUACGGGUGGCAGCAGUGAGGAAUAUUGGUCAAUGGGCGCGAGCCUGAACCAGCCAAGUAGCGUGAAGGAUGACAGCCCGACGGGGGGUAAACUGCUGUUAUAAAGGAAUAAAGUGAGGCACGUGGGCCUUUUUGUAUGUACUUUAUGAAUAAGGAUCGGCUAACUCCGUGCCAGCAGCCGCCGUAAUACGGAGGAGCCGAGCGUUAUCCGGAUUUAUUGGGUUUAAAGGGAGCGUUGAUGGGUUGUUAAGUCAGUUGUGAAAGUUUGCGGCUCAACCGUAAAAUUGCAAUUGUAACUGGCAGUCUUGAGUGCAGUUGACGUAGGCGGAAUUCGUGGUGUAGCGGU
rnacentral:rRNA from 1 species